GUUUAAGAGGCAUGAAAAUGUUUACAAAUGUAAAAGACAAUUCACUCUCAUCACUUGCAGAGAAUAUUAAGCGACAGGUAAUCCUGGUCGGUCAGGGAGACCACCCCUCCCUGUGAUCGCUCUGAAAUAGCGAUGGUCUGCACUCAAUUACUAUUUAUAUCCUUUCUGGAAUUCGCUACAAAUCAGAGAAUUUGCUGCAUCCUAAAGAAAAAAAAAUCUGCUUCCCUGGACAGCAUCAUGCGGCAAAUUUUACACAAAUAUUUUCAAAGUGAAGAGCAGGGG